UACAGAGGGGGCAAGCGUUAUUCGGAAUUAUUGGGCGUAAAGGGCGCGUAGGCGGCAUGGCAAGUGGAUGGUGAAAUCCCUCGGCUUAACCGAGGAACUGCCGUCCAAACUGCUUCGCUUGAGACCGGGAGAGGUGAGUGGAAUUCCCAGUGUAGCGGUGAAAUGCGUAGAUAUUGGGAGGAACACCAGCGGCGAAGGCGGCUCUCGUGCCGGUAUGACGCUGAGUGCGCGAAAGCCGGGAGG
rnacentral:rRNA from 1 species